GAUGAACGCUGGCGGCGUGCCUAAUACAUGCAAGUCGAGCGAACGGACGAGAAGCUUGCUUUUCUGAUGUUAGCGGCGGACGGGUGAGUAACACGUGGAUAACCUACCUAUAAGACUGGGAUAACCUCGGGAAACUGGAGCUAAUACCGGAUAAUAUUUUGAACCGCAUGGUUCAAAAGUGAAAGACGGUCUUGCUGUCACUUAUAGAUGGAUCCGCGCUGCAUUAGCUAGUUGGUAAGGUAACGGCUUACCAAGGCAACGAUGCAUAGCCGACCUGAGAGGGUGAUCGGCCACACUGGAACUGAGACACGGUCCAGACUCCUACGGGAGGCAGCAGUAGGGAAUCUUCCGCAAUGGGCGAAAGCCUGACGGAGCAACGCCGCGUGAGUGAUGAAGGUCUUCGGAUCGUAAAACUCUGUUAUUAGGGAAGAACAUAUGUGUAAGUAACUGUGCACAUCUUGACGGUACCUAAUCAGAAAGCCACGGCUAACUACGUG
rnacentral:rRNA from 1 species